rnacentral:rRNA from 1 species
UACGGAGGGUGCAAGCGUUACUCGGAAUUACUGGGCGUAAAGCGCACGCAGGCGGUCUGUCAAGUCGGAUGUGAAAUCCCCGGGCUCAACCUGGGAACUGCAUUCGAAACUGGCAGGCUAGAGUCUUGUAGAGGGAAGUAGAAUUCCAGGUGUAGCGGUGAAAUGCGUAGAGAUCUGGAGGAAUACCGGUGGCGAAGGCGGCCCCCUGGACAAAGACUGACGCUCAGGUGCGAAAGCGUGGGGAGCAAACAGG